rnacentral:piRNA from 1 species
CAGGUUAUCAAGCUUGUAUGUCAGGUGCUU